AUGGCCAUGCCAUGCAGAAAACACCGGUUCUCGUCCGAUCGCCGAAGUUAAGCAUCAUCGGGCGCGGUCAAUACUUGGGAGGGUAACCACCUGGGAACACCGCGUGCCGUUG
rnacentral:rRNA from 1 species